GGAGAGAUGGCUCAGCGGUUAAGAGCACUGAUUGCUCUUCUGAACCAAGGUCCUGGGUUCAAAUCCCAGCAACCACA
rnacentral:tRNA from 1 species